rnacentral:tRNA from 1 species
AUUUAUGUAGUUUAUAAAAAAUAUUACACUUUCAUUGUAAAGAAAAUCUAUGUUCAUAAAUU